rnacentral:rRNA from 1 species
UACGUAGGUGGCAGGCGUUGUCCGGAUUUAUUGGGCGUAAAGCGAGUGCAGGCGGUUCGAUAAGUCUGAUGUGAAAGCCUUCGGCUCAACCGGAGAAUUGCAUCAGAAACUGUCGAGCUUGAGUACAGAAGAGGAGAGUGGAACUCCAUGUGUAGCGGUGAAAUGCGUAGAUAUAUGGAAGAACACCGGUGGCGAAGGCGGCUCUCUGGUCUGUUACUGACGCUGAGGCUCGAAAGCAUGGGUAGCGAACAGGAUUAGAUACCCUGGUAGUCAAGGGCG